GUUGUUUUCUCGAAAAUCAAUUUAAUGAGUUCUUGUUUUUAAGUUAUUGUGACUUUAUCAGCGCAUUUCUUAUUUUACUUGACUCAUUGAAUGCACUUUUCGUUUAACAAGUCAACAUCAAUUUCUUUGGUGGUAAAAAGUUUAAAGGAAGGUGGCUUGGACUUCGGUUCAAGUGUUUAUAGCCUUUUUUCUAUGCCAUCGGAGAGAUUGAGGUCUGCAGCGUAGAUCCUUCGGGGUUAGAUACUUUAGUGCUAAGUUAUAGUUUUUUAUAGACAACUUGUUGACUAUAAUUAACCCUGUAAUUUACUCGCUAGAGCUAUUUUACCUAC
rnacentral:rRNA from 1 species